CUACGGGACGCUGCAGUAAGGAAUAUUGGACAAUGGAGGAAACUCUGAUCCAGCCAUGCCGCGUGAGUGAUGAAGGCCUUCGGGUUGUAAAGCUCUUUUAGGUGUGACGAUGAUGACGGUAACACCAGAAAAAGCCCCGGCUAACUUCGUGCCAGCAGCCGCGGUAAUACGAAGGGGGCGAGCGUUGUUCGGAAUCACUGGGCUUAAAGCGUACGUAGGCGGAUUAACAAGUCAGAAGUGAAAGCCCAGGGCUUAACCCUGGAAUUGCUUUUGAAACUGUUAGUCUGGAAUCCGGUAGAGGUUGGCGGAACUCCGAGUGUAGAGGUGAAAUUCGCAGAUAUUCGGAAGAACACCAGUGGCGAAGGCGGCCAACUGGACCGGUAUUGACGCUGAGGUACGAAAGCGUGGGUAGCAAACAGGAUUAGAUACCCCUGUAGUC
rnacentral:rRNA from 1 species